AAUUUAUCACACUGUACUACUGGCACCUUGUCUUAUGUCUUCCUCCCACAUCAGAUCUUGAGCAACUUGCUGAUAGGAAUCUGAAACCAUUGACUAGAGGGGCUGUCAGAAGUGCCUGUUGCAUUCAGAUGUAUUUCCUCUGUUCUUUCUACUCUGUUCUACCUGUACCCAGAAAAGAAACUAGAAGAAUAAAAUCUACUGAGGUUAACAAACCUCUGAGGUGACGUAGAGAAGAACUCGAAGUGCCCUAAUGGAGGAAAGUGGCUGGGACUUCCCAGGUCAUUCGGAAGGAUACUUAGGUGGUGCCUCUACUAUUCCUGCUCCAGCUGAGCCUAUGUUUUUAAACAAAAAUACAAAUUCCUAUGUCAUAAACCAUGGUCCAUUGGCAAAUGGAAAGCAAUAAGCAAGUGACAGUAAAGAAGCUAUUGAAAAGAACAAGGACAUGGGCCAGCCCCGGACUGAAUCCCAGCCUGGCCCACACUGGCUAUGUGACCUUAGGCAGUGACUCAGUUCUCUAAGACCAGGUUUCUUCUUCUGGAAAAGCAGUAUUUGCAAAAUCCCAUGAGAAAUCGACAAGAUAAUAAUAUUUGCAAAGAACCCAC
rnacentral:lncRNA from 1 species